rnacentral:rRNA from 1 species
UGGGGAAUCUUGCGCAAUGGACGAAAGUCUGACGCAGCGACGCCGCGUGGGUGAUGAAGGCCUUCGGGUUGUAAAGCCCUGUGGGGAGAGAAGAAUUAGUGUUGGCUAAUAUCCAGCAUGAUGACGGUAUCUCCUUAGCAAGCACCGGCUAACUCUGUGCCAGCAGCCGCGGUAAGACAGAGGGUGCAAACGUUGUUCGGAAUUACUGGGCGUAAAGCGUGUGUAGGCGGCUAUGUAAGUCGGAUGUGAAAUCCCCGGGCUCAACCCGGGAAGUGCACCCGAUACUGCGUAGCUUGAAUGUCGGAGAGGUUGGUAGAAUUCUCGGUGUAGAGGUGAAAUUCGUAGAUAUCGAGAGGAAUACCGGUGGCGAAGGCGGCCAACUGGACGAACAUUGACGCUGAGACACGAAAGCGUGGGUAGCAAACAGGAUUAGAUACCCCGGUAGUCC